GAUGAACGCUGGCGGCGUGCCUAAUACAUGCAAGUCGAGCGAACAGACGAGGAGCUUGCUCCUCUGACGUUAGCGGCGGACGGGUGAGUAACACGUGGAUAACCUACCUAUAAGACUGGGAUAACUUCGGGAAACCGGAUCUAAUACCGUAUAAUAUAUUGAACCGCAUGGUUCAAUAGUGAAAGACGGUUUUGCUGUCACUUAUAGAUGGAUCCGCGCCGCAUUAGCUAGUUGGUAAGGUAACGGCUUACCAAGGCAACGAUGCGUAGCCGACGUGAGAGGGUGAUCGGCCACACUGGAACUGAGACACGGUCCAGACUCCUACGGGAGGCAGCAGUAGGGAAUCUUCCGCAAUGGGCGAAAGCCUGACGGAGCAACGCCGCGUGAGUGAUGAAGGUCUUCGGAUCGUAAAACUCUGUUAUUAGGGAAGAACAAAUGUGUAAGUAACUAUGCACGUCUUGACGGUACCUAAUCAGAAAGCCACGGCUAACUACGUG
rnacentral:rRNA from 1 species